UACGUAGGGGGCAAGCGUUGUUCGGAAUCACUGGGCAUAAAGGGCGCGUAGGCGGCUUAUCAAGUCCGUGGUGAAAUCUCCGGGCUUAACCCGGAAACUGCCAUUGAUACUAUCUGUCUUGAAUACCGUAGAGGUGAGCGGAAUAUGUCAUGUAGCGGUGAAAUGCUUAGAUAUGACAUAGAACACCAAUUGCGAAGGCAGCUCACUACGCGAAUAUUGACACUGAGGCGCGAAAGCGUGGGGAGCAAACAGG
rnacentral:rRNA from 1 species